CGCCAGUUUUGGCGGAGCCAUCCUUGGGAUACCACCCUUGUAGUACUGGGACUCUAACCAUAGGCCAUGAAUCUGGUCUUGGGACACUGUCAGGUGGGCAGUUUGACUGGGGCGGUCGCCUCCCAAAAGGUAACGGAGGCGCUCAAAGGUUCUCUCAGUACGGUCGGAAAUCGUACGUAGAGUGUAAAGGCAAAAGAGAGCUUGAUUGCAAGACAUACAGGUCGAGCAAGGAUGAAAAUCGGACUUAGUGAACCGGUGGUUCUGCGUGGAAGGGCCAUCGCUCAACGGAUAAAAGCUACCCUGGGGAUAACAGGCUUAUCUCCCCCAAGAGUCCACAUCGACGGGGAGGUUUGGCACCUCGAUGUCGGCUCAUCACAUC
rnacentral:rRNA from 1 species